rnacentral:snRNA from 1 species
AUACUUACCUGGCAGGGGAGAUACCAUGAUCAUGAAGUUGUUUUUUCCAAGGCAAGACUUAUCAGUUGCACUCCCUGUGAACUAGAACAAAUAUACAUCGCUAUUGCAGGGU